rnacentral:rRNA from 1 species
CAAUAGCGUAUAUUAUUGAUGUUGCAGUUGAAACGUUCGUAGUCGAACUUUAUCUGCUCAGGUAUUGUAACGUCGCUGACGUUUCAAUAAAUUCAGCAGAGACAGUGUAAAAGUCAUUGCACACGUUUCGUGUGUUAAUGAGUUUUGCAUCUUACUUUGAGUGAAUCGGCGUGUUCCACGCAGGCAUGUGCCUUGAACGAUUUACCAUAGUCUAACUAAAGUAUGAAAAUGCUUCUUUGUUUGUUCAGAAGUAUUUUCGAUACAAAUAAGAACGGUUGAGGGCAUUCGUAUUCAGCUGCCAGAGGUGAAAUUCUUUGAUUAGUUGAGGACGAACUAUUGCGAAANCANNNGCCAAGGACGUUUCUUUNGA